rnacentral:rRNA from 1 species
AGUGAACGCUGGCGGUAGGCCUAACACAUGCAAGUCGAACGGCAGCACAGUAAGAGCUUGCUCUUACGGGUGGCGAGUGGCGGACGGGUGAGGAAUACAUCGGAAUCUACUUUUUCGUGGGGGAUAACGUAGGGAAACUUACGCUAAUACCGCAUACGACCUACGGGUGAAAGCAGGGGAUCUUCGGACCUUGCGCGAUUGCAUGAGCCGAUGUCGGAUUAGCUAGUUGGCGGGGUAAAGGCCCACCAAGGCGACGAUCCGUAGCUGGUCUGAGAGGAUGAUCAGCCACACUGGAACUGAGACACGGUCCAGACUCCUACGGGAGGCAGCAGUGGGGAAUAUUGGACAAUGGGCGCAAGCCUGAUCCAGCCAUACAGCGUGGGUGAAGAAGGCCUUCGGGUGGUAAAGCCCUUUUGUUGGGAAAGAAAAGCAGCAGGUUAAUACCCCGCUGUUCGGACGGUACCCAAAGAAUAAGCACCGGCUAACUUCGU